AAACANUGGGCACCCUGGUCUACACCAUGAUCAUGAAGGUGGUUUUCCCAGGGUGAGGCUCAUCCAUUGCACUCCGGGUGUGCUGACCCCUGUGAUUUCCCCAAAUGCGGGAAACUCGACUGCAUAAUUUGUGGUAGUGGGGGACUGCAUUUGCGCUUUCCCCUA
rnacentral:snRNA from 1 species